GAUGAACGCUGGCGGCGUGCCUAAUACAUGCAAGUCGAGCGGACGGACGCGACGCUUGCUUCUCUGAUGUUAGCGGAGGACGGGUGAGUAACACGUGGAUAACCUACCUAUAAUACUGGGAUAACUUCGGGAAACCGUAGCUAAUACCGGAUAAUCUUUUGCACCGCAUGGUUCAAAAGUGAAAGACGGUCUUGCUGUCACUUAUAGAUGGAUCCCCGCUGCAUUAGCUAGUUGGUAAGGUAACGGCUUACCAAGGCAACGAUGCAUAGCCGACCUGAGAGAGUGGUAGGCGACACUGGAGCUGGAACACGGUCAAGACUCCUACGGGACGCAGCAGUAUGGAAUGUGCCGCAACAGGCGAAAGCCUGACGGAGCAACGCCGCGUGAGUGAUGAAGGCCUUCGGAUCGUAAAACUCUGUUAUUAGUGAAGAACAGAUGUGUAAGUAACUGUGCACAGCGUGACGGUACCUAAUCAGAAAGCCACGGCUAACUACGUG
rnacentral:rRNA from 1 species